rnacentral:rRNA from 1 species
AGUGAACGCUGGCGGUAGGCCUAACACAUGCAAGUCGAACGGCAGCACAGUAAGAGCUUGCUCUUACGGGUGGCGAGUGGCGGACGGGUGAGGAAUACAUCGGAAUCUACUUUUUCGUGGGGGAUAACGUAGGGAAACUUACGCUAAUACCGCAUACGACCUACGGGUGAAAGCAGGGGAUCUUCGGACCUUGCGCGAUCGAAUGAGCCGAUGUCGGAUUAGCUAGUUGGCGGGGUAACGGCCCACCAAGGCGACGAUCCGUAGCUGGUCUGAGAGGAUGAUCAGCCACACUGGAACUGAGACACGGUCCAGACUCCUACGGGAGGCAGCAGUGGGGAAUAGUGGACAAUGGGCGGAAGCCUGAUCCAGCCAUACCGCGUGGGUGAAGAAGGCCUUCGGGUUGUAAAGCCCUUUUGUUGUGAAAGAAAAGCAGCAGGUUAAUACCCCGCUGUUCUGACGGUACCCAAAGAAUAAGCACCGGCUAACUUCGUG